rnacentral:rRNA from 1 species
CCUACGGGAGGCAGCAGUGGGGAAUAUUGGACAAUGGGGGGAACCCUGAUCCAGCGACGCCGCGUGAGUGAAGAAGUAUUUCGGUAUGUAAAGCUCUAUCAGCAGGGAAGAAAGAAAUGACGGUACCUGACUAAGAAGCCGCGGCUAACUACGUGCCAGCAGCCGCGGUACUACGUAGGGGGCAAGCGUUAUCCGGAUUUACUGGGUGAAAAGGGGGUGCAGCCGGAGAGACAAGUCAGAUGUGAAAUCCACGGGCUCAACCCGUGAACUGCAUUUGAAACUGUUUCCCUUGAGUGUCGGAGAGGUAAUCGGAAUUCCUUGUGUAGCGGUGAAAUGCGUAGAUAUAAGGAAGAACACCAGUGGCGAAGGCGGAUUACUGGACGAUAACUGACGGUGAGGCGCGAAAGCGUGGGGAGCAAACAGGAUUAGAUACCCUUGUAGUC